GUUGUCUGCCCCCCAUCGGGUGCCAUGGUGCACCCUUGUCUGACCCCAUUGGGUGCCAUGGGGUGCCUUUGUCUGCCCUCCACGGGGUGCCCUCGUCUGCCCCCCACUGGGUGCCACGGGGUGCCCUUGUCUUAUCCCAUGGGGUGCCGUUGUCUGCCCCCCAUUGUGUGCCAUGGGUGCCCUUGUCUGACCCCCAUUGUGUGCCAUGGGUGCCCCUGUCUGCCCCCCAUUGUGUGCCAUGGGGGUGCCCUUGUCUGACCCCCAUUGUGUGCCAUGGGGGGCCCUCGUCUGACCCCCAUUGUGUGCCAUGGGUGCCCUCGUCUGACCCCCAUUGUGUGCCAUGGGUGCCCUUGUCUGACCCCCAUUGUGUGCCAUGGGUGCCCCUGUCUGACCCCGUGGGGUGCCCCUGUCUGCCCCCCAUUGUGUGCCAUGGGUGCCCCUGUCUGCCCCCCAUUGUGUGCCGUUGGGUGCCCUUGUCUGACCCCGUGGGGUGCCCCUGUCUGCCCCCCAUUGUGUGCCAUGGGUGCCCUUGUCCCCCCGGGGCUGAUGGGUCUCACCGUCCCGCCAGGCGCAAGCUGGUGCAGCUGCAGGUCGCGUAUCACCACCUGUUCCAGGAGUACGACGCCCACAUCAAGGCCAGCGUGGAGGGGGACAAGCGCAGCCAGGGUGCAGCGCAGCAGCUGGCGGAGGUGACACUGGGUGCCACCAGGUGCCACCGAUGCCAUCAAUGCCAUCCCGCAGGGCGCAGCACAGCAGCUGGCGGGG
rnacentral:lncRNA from 1 species